CCAGGAUCCCAUCCAGAAUACUGCAUUUUGUUGUCGCGUCUAAUCAAGGUUCACAGGCGAAAGGGACUUGUCUCAGAUGACACUUUGGAUUGGACUUUUCAGUUAAUGCUGGAAUGAGUUAAGACUUCAGGGGACUGUCAGAAAGGCAUGAUUGGUUUUGAAAUGUGAAAAGAACAUGAGAUUUGGGAGGCGUCAGGAUGGAAUA
rnacentral:lncRNA from 1 species